UAGUCCAUGCCGUAAACGAUGUGUACUAGGUGUCGCGGACAUUGACUGCCGCGGUGCCGUAGCCAACGCGUUAAGUACACCGCCUGGGGAGUACGAUCGCAAGGUUGAAACUCAAAGGAAUUGACGGGGGGCCCGCACAAGCGGUGGAGCAUGUGGUUUAAUUCGAUGAUACGCGAGGAACCUUACCAAGGCUUAAAUGUAGAAUGACCGUUCUGGAAACAGGACUUUCUUCGGACAAUUUACAAGGUGCUGCAUGGUUGUCGUCAGCUCGUGCCGUGAGGUGUCGGGUUAAGUCCCAUAACGAGCGCAACCCCUAUCUUCAGUUGCCAGCGAGUAAAGUCGGGGACUCUGGAGAAACUGCCCGUGCAAACGGAGAGGAAGGUGGGGAUGGAUGUCAAAUCAUCACGGGCCCUUACGUCUUGGGGCUACACACGUGCUACAAUGGUUGGUACAAAGGGGCAGCUACCAGGUGACUGGAUGCUAAUCUCAAAAGCCAAUCUCAGUUCGGAUUGGAGUCU
rnacentral:rRNA from 1 species